AUUGAACGCUGGCGGCAGGCCUAACACAUGCAAGUCGGACGAGUGGCGGACGGGUGAGUAAUGUAUGGGAAACUGCCUGAUGGAGGGGGAUAACUACUGGAAACGGUAGCUAAUACCGCCUACCAUCUGAUGUUCCCCUAUGGGAUUAGCUGGUCGGGGGGGUAACGGCUCACCUAGGCGACGAUCCCUAGCUGGUCUGAGAGGAUGACCAGCCACACUGGGACUGAGACACGGCCCAGACUCCUACGGGAGGCAGCAGUGGGGAAUAUUGCACAAUGGGCGCAAGCCUGAUGCAGCCAUGCCGCGUGUAUGAAGAAGGCCUUCGGGUUGUAAAGUACUUUCAGUCGGGAGGCGUUACCGGCAGAAGAAGCACCGGCUAACUCCGUGCCAGCAGCCGCGGUAAUAC
rnacentral:rRNA from 1 species